AACGAACGCUGGCGGCAGGCUUAACACAUGCAAGUCGAACGGGUGUAGCAAUACAUCAGUGGCAGACGGGUGAGUAACACGUGGGAACCUUCCUAGGGGUACGGAACAACUCAGGGAAACUUGAGCUAAUACCGUAUACGUCCGUGAGGAGAAAGAUUUAUCGCCCUUAGACGGGCCCGCGUCGGAUUAGCUAGUUGGUGGGGUAACGGCCUACCAAGGCGACGAUCGGUGGCUGAUCUUAGAGGAUGAUCAGCCACACUGGGACUGAGACACGGCCCAGACUCCUACGGGAGGCAGCAGUGGGGAAUCUUGGACAAUGGGCGCAAGCCUGAUCCAGCCAUGCCGCGUGAGUGAAGAAGGUCUUCGGAUUGUAAAGCUCUUUUGCCAGGGACGAUAAUGACGGUACCUGGAGAGUAAGCCCCGGCAAACUUCGUGCCAGCCGCCGCAGUAA
rnacentral:rRNA from 1 species